UCCUUGUAAGAAUGAGCCGCUGUCUUUGUCUUUAUUUUAAUCCUUAACCCUUAGCCUCGGAUCAUUGUGAAGUAUGGUAGCACCAUAGCCACGAACACACCAGCGGCUUGCUACAGAUGGAGGACCCACCCAGAUCGGAAAAGAAGAAAACUGCUAAAGAAUUACACUCAAAUACUGGCCAACAAGUAAGGUUAUUCUUCCUUAAGGAUACAAAUGUUCAUUAAUUGGUCACCUCUAUCAACUAUUUGAAGAAAUUCUUGGUAUUUGUUUAUCAUACAUAAGUCUCCCAUUCUGGAGACUGCCUUUACUACUUCUGCAAAGUAUCCUAUGAGUCUUCGUUUUGAAGAAAGGGUCUCUGUCUUCUGUGAAAGAGCAUUCAAAGCCUAGCUUCUCAUCGGCACAAAGGCACCAAGGCAAUCAAAGGUGAUUUCCAAGUUACAAACCUUGAAAUUUGGCCCUGCUGCAGAAGAGAUGAGAACUGCAAAGUACCCUUAGUCCUUUCCCCGGGAACCUUCACAUAUGCCUCACCAAGACUUCUUCCAGGAAACGCCUGGUAAUGAGCAGUGAGGGUGAAUCUGCCUUUGAAAGGCCCUGGGACUGCAGCAGUGUCACAGAGCAGGGCACACUGACAAGGGGUGAAGAGCCAAAGAAUGAAAUAAACAAGGAAAUGGGGAAAAAAGGAUGUGUUGAGGGGACAGGGUUGCAGCAUAACUAAGUUUUCACUGGAUUGAGUGAGAUACUAGAACAUUCUCUAAGAAUGACUUUUUUUUUUUCUUACUGAAGUUUUAGAAGCUUAGUAUCCUUGCAGACAAUAUGGCUUACUAAUGUGCAUACUAACUUACAAAUUUUUGUCACAAAUUCUUUUAUGCAUUCUAUGCUGUGAUAUAGACUUAAUGAACAUCCAAGAAGCAUUGAGUGUAUUUACAGCACCAUGGGGUUUGAGUAUGCUUCAAGAAAGCAGGCAUCAUGUUAAAAUAAUGAAAAUAUAUUAUCUCAAAUAUCAUACUUGAAGAUACAUAUAGGGUGUUUUGCUCAGUUCUAUCUCAUUCUGUUCUAAAACAAUUUCAAUUUAGUUUGAUUACAAAACAUUCAGCUGUAAACAUGUGCAAGCCUUUCAUUCAAUGUUACAAAAAUAAUAUGUAGUGUUUUCUUUUUACCAAUUGUUGUGUAGAAAAAUUCCUCUGUGGUAAAGCAUUCUAUCCUGCCGGGUAAUUCCUUUAGGCACAGAGUGUUCUAAAGGGAGACAGAGCAUUCUUUGUUGGAGGCAAACUCUUUAAUUUCUGGAAGCAAACAACUCACAAGCUUUAGAAAAUAACAACGCACAAGCUUUAGAGAGUUCCUGAAAAUUACCAGGAUCAUUAGGUCCUAUUUUCCAAAGCUUACUUAAGCCCAACUGAUGGCUGAGAGACACUAUCAGACAAGCUGAAGUGUAUAGAGGCUUCCCAGGCCAGCCAAGUCACUAAGCUGUCUGGAAAAGACAGAGAUGCUCAAACAACCGAUGGAGAUGCUUUCCAAUCUGCUGAGCUGCCUUCCAGGUGAGUGGCGUGUGCUCCAGAUUACUAGCUUGUGGACCGUCAGCCAUGCGGGGGCGGGGGUCUUGCUGGUGUAGCUAUCUCUGAGUCUUGUCUUUCUUGUAAGUAAACCCAAUAAAGUCAUCACUUGGACUUUUUUGCUAUCUUUAGUUAGAUUGGUCCCCCACCUGUAGCCAGCAGAUAUCUGUCCAUGCCUCCCCAGGAAUAGUGUUACACAAUACAAACUUACAAUCUAGUUUGGGAAGCAGAUUAUGUAAACCAGACAUGCACUCCAGUGACAAAUGAAAUGAUUGCAUAAUAAAUUUAAAACAGGUGUUAUUUUAGUAAAGGUGGUCGUGGUUUUAUUUAUUCAAAACACAAUUUAUUCAGUAAAUAUUUCUUGGAAAUUAUCAAUGACCAAGAGAUAUUUGGACACUAGAAAGAUUUGAUAGUAAAAUGUACUAAGGAAGCAAACAAUCAUAAUGUAAGUUGCAAAAGAAAACAAUUACAAGUCCCAGAGAUUUCAGGGAUGGUCUUAAUGCACAGUUGAGGAAUUUAUGGAUCAUAAAAAGUGGCAAGCACAAAAGCUGAUUUUAAAAGAGGGGUACAUCAUCCUUAUCAGAAGUCUUGUAUGAGGGGACAGAGAUUCAGGGUAGGGACAAGUUCCACAGAAGUGCAGGCUUUAUUAUUAUUUAAGAGCAAUGAAACCAAUGCAUCAGAUGCCUGCUAUUGAGAAGAUGUCUGUUAGAGUUCCUAGGUGGAUAUAGCACAUCACGCCACAUCAUCAUCCUGGGCGACAUAAGGCAGCCUGUGGAAGGAUGAAGGGGGAUGAGGGGAGCUCAUGCACGUUCAGCCAGCUUUGUGACUCCAGGACUGGCCACUGAAGAUAUGCUCUGGCAGCCAGAGAGCAGACCUGCCUGUGUCCCAGUAAGGUCAGGAGUCCGGCGUAAGGAUCCCCUUCAGUUCUGCACCUAUCCCUAUCCAUGGUGAUAUUUUUACUCUGAACUCUUCACCCCACUUGCUCUUUCUCAUUGAUGCAGGUCCUAUUAACCAGGAGAGAGGUGGAAGGAUCAAACUUUGCCCAUGCUUCACUCUGACAGAUUCUUACUCCUCAAUUCAUAGCAGAGACAGACAUUCGUCAAAGAACAAAAUAUGGUUUAAACCAUAAACAGGUGACAGUCUUAUAUGCAAAAUACAAAAUGUGUAUUUUCUUCAUUAUUACAUAAAUACCACCCAAAUAACUCCUGAAAUUCAGGCUAGAGUCUUUGAAAUCUGUUUAUUCUGAAAGCAAGAGUACAAAAUCUGUUUAGGAAUUUAGAGGCAAAUUGACUUCAAGUUCCAUGAAAUGUAUUAAUUUGGCAUUAACCUAAUGGAUUAAAUGUACGAUUUCCACCACACACUUCUUGUAAGAUUCACAAGUUGACACAUGCUGGCCUUAUUGGUAUCUUUCAACCCUGUGACAUUAAUCACUUUGUAGUCAUUGUCACCUGGCAGGUAUACUUGGUGUCAUUAUUUUCAUCUGGAAGACUGGAGACAUACAGGGUUCUUUCCUGGAGCUGAAUCAUCCUUUGUAAAAGCAGCUAGCUUGCACGGUCUGCAUGGUCUACUUUAUGAUUUGUGUGUGUGCGUAUGUGAAAUAGCUAAGAAGCAUAAACAUGUCUAUCACUCCUAAAGGUGCAAAUUUUACUUUUCUUCCAUUUCCAAAUAGUCUAGUCAUUAUGAAGUGACCUUUAAGUAUCUUUAGGGAAAGGACUUCUAAGGUGUUUUCAGAUACAUAUGUAAAUGUAGCACAUGCACCAUUUUCUUGAAAUGCAUCUUGUAUCCUAGAAAAUGCCUGGAUUUUAUUAUAUAAGAAUGCAGAUUCUAAUACCAUGGAAACAUGUGCUAAUUAUUACAACAUAUUCAUUAUGGUUACUUAAUCAUUGCCAUUUCUCCUAAAUUGAGAAUGUAUGUAAUAUGAUGUUAUGUUUUCUUGCAUAUAAUACAUUCUCUUACUCAUCUGAGCUCCAGCCGAGCUUCUGCAGCUGUCAAGAGAAAAUGUUCAAGAUAGACAGCAAGGAUGGGGCAUUUGAAUGGAAUGUAACAGCUGGAGAGCAGGCAUAUUUGUAAGGGGUGAUUUUCUCAGUGCACUUUGCCUCCUUAGCUGCAUUGCAGCUGCUUUGCUUGAACUGUAAUUGGUGGUUAGAAAAGUAGGAUCUCCUCUUCAAAUCUUACUCAUCUCCCCGCAAUCUACUUUGCCUUCUUCUCUCUCAAAAUCACUCCAGGGCUAUAGUAGCCCCAACAACUCCACAGUGGCAACUACUUCCAUAGCCAGAACACCAAUCCACCUUCCAAAUGCUUGGCUUCAUUUUGGAUUUGUUUCUUUUUUGUGAGUUCUUGGUCACCAUGUAUCAAAUGAUAGUUAUUUCAGAUCAAACCUAGUGAAGUCAGACAAAAUAAAUUUGCCUCAAGGAGGAGUUGUUAUAUUUUCGGAAGGAUUUGAAGAAGUUUUUCUUUAAUUUAGAACUUUGCUAGAAUGGAGGGGAAUAUCUGAUAGUUUUAAUAAGAUCUGACUGAAGAUCACCCCUCUCUCCUGUGCCUCCUCUAAUUCUAAAGGACAGUGAUGGAUGUUAAAUUACAGCUCAAUAGUGCUCUACAGGAGUACGUGCUUCCUUCAUCAGUUCUGAGAUUCUCCUGGGUUUGAUGACAAGUUACAUCACUCCAGGGCACAGCAGCCCACAAGCAUGUUCACAAAGUCAUCCUUUGAACCCUAAUUGGCCCUUUUUAGACCAUCUGAAAACCCGAGUGUUUUAUUAAUAGUUUAUGUGUGUCCUCUAUUGGACUAAGUAGUGAACCUUUUGGCACUAUGCAAAUUCCCAUAUUAAUGUGAUGCUGCACAUAUUGAAAGUUAAUGUCAAGGCAUUUAUGUAUUUAUUUAGUCCAGCCAAAGUCGGGCCUAGUGAUUAUUUAUAACCAAGGAGACAUAACCCUUACCAAGGGGUCUGGAAGAUGACUCAGUAAGUAAAAACACUUGCCACCAAGCCUUACUGUCUGAGUUCAAUCCCAGAAACCCCCAAGGAGGAAGGAAAGAACUGAUGCUUGUAGCUUGACAUGUGACUCAUACAAAAAGUGAAUAAAUGUUGAUAUGUAGAAUAUUCAUCAUCAUGAAAGCAGAGAAUUAUCAACUCAGGGAAUGGUGAAAUGGUGUUUUUGAAUGGAAUGUUGGUAUCUAGCUCAGUGUUACUGUAUGCAUGCAGCUGUAGGUUGGAUCUCUAGUGCUGCAUAAGGAAAUAAUAAACAGAUACAAAGAAACUGAAACAUGGUUGCAUAAUUAUCUGAUACCAGAGCAUCUCAGCAAGUACUGGGUGGAUUUCAAACCUUGGGAAGAAUUGUCAAGGUCGGAACAGAGUGGAGACCUUUGAAUGUGGAUCCUCAUUCUCUCACUGGCCUUAGCCAGACCCUUUCUUACCCAGGUAAGACAAACAGAGCACAUUUGCUUCUAAACUGAAUCUGAUUCAAAGUGAAGUUACCACCUUUUAUUCGUAUAAAAUUGUAUUCGAAUUGGAUUACCAAAAGAGUGUUUGUAAAAAUUAAAUUGGAUUUCUAUUCACUAACAAGACUAUAUUAGUAUACCCCAGUUAUUUUCACAAGAACAAAGGAUCUAAAUCAAACUCCAGAAAUAUAGAUGGAAGGCAUUCGACUGCUGCUUUUUCUAAGGCUGCUGACUCACUCUUAAUGAUGGCCAUGAUAAAUAUGUAUGGACAGAUUCUAUUUCUGGUUUGUAGUCAGCCUAGAAACCUUGGUGCAGCUAAAGAUUCUGUGAGUUUCCUGGCAAGGAAAGACCUGAUGACACAUGCAGAAAAUUGAAUCCCAUGGGGAUCUGAUGGGUGUUAUUUUGAAAGCUGGUAUUCAGUUGUGUAGAAGACAGAAAGGCUGGCCUUCCACACCCUCCUAAAGCUGGGAGAUCUGUGUUAUUCUCAAUGCAAUUAUCCUUAGAUGACAACUUUUUGUUCUUUGCUAGUCCAUCAAACUGUGGAUAUUGUUAGCACUUUUUUUGAAUAAUUGCAGUGUUUCUAUGCUUUUUUUUUUCCUCUCAAAAUGAAGCUCUCCUCUUCACCUACGCAUUGAUCACUUGAGUGUGGCUAGCAAGCAAGCAGAGGAUUCUUUUGUGUUUGUUUUUGUUUUUUCAAGACAGGGUUUCUCUGUGGCUUUGGAGGCUCUGUAGACCAGGCUGGCCUCGAACUCACAGCCUCCUGCCUCUGCCUCCCGAGUUCUGGAAUGAAAGGAAUGUGCCACCACUGCCCGACCCAGGGGAUUCUUUAAUUGCAUUAGAUUCUAAUUUUAAACUUUAAUUAAGAUUUAUGUAUGCACAUGUGACUAGCUGCUGUCAUUUCGACAGUGUGAUUCAAGAACAUACAAGAGAAUACCAGGGGGGCCAUUUUGCUGUCUGUGUUUUCCCCUCCAAAGUGCCAGACUUUAUGAAUGUUUCUCCUGUGAGACAGUCUGCUUUAGAUGCUACCUUUUACAAUAAAUUCAACAUCUUAGGAGUAUUAUCAACACUACUUCAGAUAAGUGACAUAUCUGGAAGUUACAGUUUAGAGAAAAGGUUGUCAACCUUCUUCUUUCCCCUCUGUGGCAAAGCCUCCUCCUAUGCCUUUUAAAAAACAUAAUUUAUUUGAGAGGAAAUAGGUGCUACUUUUUUAAAACCCCUCUCAAUGGAAAGACUCACCUAAAACUCACCUAAACCCAAGUCAAUGGUUUUACAUUUUAAAUGGCUUCUUGUUGAAUUAAUUGUGCUUUUAAAAAUUAAUUAAAUCUUAAUUAAGGAAAAAUGCAGCCUAGUCUUUAUAUUUACAACAACAAUAAGGUGUUUUACUAGACAUCAAGAAUAUACUACAGCAUAAAUUACAGCAUUCGGUACCAAGUAUUUUACAUAUGAACUCAUGGUCAGCAAAGUGAUACCUCUGGAGCUUUCACAACAUCAUCAUUUCACAGAAGUAGCAAUUGAAAGACAGAGAACUGAACUGCAAAUCCAUGUAGACCCACAGCCAUCCAGAGACAGCUGCUGGAGGCAUACUCAACAACUGUCCUGAGCUUAGUGCUCCUGCAACUGACACUCUUUUACAGAAAGAUUUAAAAGAAAACUAUAUAAAUGACAUUGCAUGUUGUUGAUAUGUUUUCUUCCAUUGUGCUUUUAAAAAUCAUAUGUAACUACAUAUAUAGUUAUGAUUUGAAUAAAAAUGUUUCCUUCAUGCUUCUUUCCUGGAAGUUGGUCUCUAGCUCAUAACAUUUUGGAAACUUCUGGAUAUUUUAGAGGUGUAUUUAGAUUAUAAAAUAUGUUUAUUUUACUAUGUAAAAUCACAGUAGAAUGCUAUGGAUACCCCCUUAGGGAUUGUAUCUUGUUGUGAAGCUUUCUCGUUUUUCCUGUUUCUGUAUCCUUUCUUUCCCCUCUGUUCUCCUUCUCCUUCCGGAUGACCACAAGGUCACUCCCCCCAUCACAUGGCUCCUCAGUAAAAUGUUCUGUCUCACAAACAUCACCCCCAAGUGUAUUGAAGUGAAAAUGGGAAGAACUUUCUACAAUAAAGAAUCCCAUUGUAUCUUU